GUACAGCGCUGCGGCAUAUACUGGGCCCCUGUUCGGCAGAAAUGCUUGUCGUUCAAGCGCAGAUUCAGAAGCUAAUCUUGGGAGGGGCACUGGUAGAUUAUUUAAAGAAAAAAUCCAGGCACAAUAACCACUACAGCACUUUGUAGUGGUUGUGGUGCCGUAGUGCCCUUCCAGAGUAAGUAGUCAAACUAUUUAAGAACAGUUUGACAAUUUA